AGCGCCGGCUAACUCUGUGCCAGCAGCCGCGGUAAUACAGAGGGUGCAAGCGUUAAUCGGAUUUACUGGGCGUAAAGCGCGCGUAGGCGGCUAAUUAAGUCAAAUGUGAAAUCCUCGAGCUUAACUUGGGAAUUGCAUUCGAUACUGGUUAGCUAGAGUGUGGGAGAGGAUGGUAGAAUUCCAGGUGUAGCGGUGAAAUGCGUAGAGAUCUGGAGGAAUACCGAUGGCGAAGGCAGCCAUCUGGCCUAACACUGACGCUGAGGUGCGAAAGCAUGGGGAGCAAACAGGAUUAGAUACCCUGGUAGUCCAUGCCGUAAACGAUGUCUACUNAGCCGUUGGGGCCUUUGAGGCUUUAGUGGCGCAGCUAACGCGAUAAGUAGACCGCCUGGGGAGUACGGUCGCAAGACUAAAACUCAAAUGAAUUGACGGGGGCCCGCACAAGCGGUGGAGCAUGUGGUUUAAUUCGAUGCAACGCGAAGAACCUUACCUG
rnacentral:rRNA from 1 species